UGCCUUCUCGUGGACCAUGUUUUGAGGCAGGAGGUGGAAUUGAAACCUAAACUGGAUUAAGAGAAAUAGUCAUCUACAUGUUCAUUUCCCUUGUUUGGAACCCUUGGGCUUGGUGUUGAUGUUUAAUCUGCAUGAGAAGCUUCCGACCGUUUUGUGGGCUUCCCUGGAAGUAAUUUUUUUCUACUGAGGCUGGUAGCCCAGUGGUUCGUUCUUAUCUUAUAGGUGGACGAACUAUGUGGCAGGUUUACCUUCCUGGUUUUGCUUGUAACUAUCUAUUGGGUUCAAUGGGAUUCCUGACCAUGACGGCCAAGGAGAAAUAUCAACUGAUAAUUGAAGGAUUUACCUUUUCUAUUUCCAUUUGGAUAAUCAUUAGAAAUUAUUGUUUGGUAAAGAUGAAUGGAUAGCGACACUUUGUUUAGCACCAAUAGCUUUUUUAUCUGAGAUGUGCAGUGUCAGUGGUUGAUUCUUGUGCAGAUUCUUUUAUGAAUCAUUCUAUCUGCACGAAUGUAACUGGAUUUGAUUGGAAAGGAGUUAGGAGCAGAGACAGAAUGUAAGGAUGCAUAAGAGAUUUUUUAUGGACAUGGAAUUUCCCUGAAUGAUAUCACGUAAUUUUGAAGAUGCUAAAUGGAUGCAAAGGCAUUUUGAAGUGUUCUAACUCUUACACGUGAAAUAUGAAGAAAUAGUCUUGGAUUUUGUAAAAUUAGAUAAAUUCAGAGUCUCUCAGAUAGGAUGAGUACGAUUUAACAGUUUCACUUCACUACAGUUAUGUUGCCGCUGACUGCAAAUUUUGAGACUAAUGCGGUUUGUUGUGUUUCUUUCUUUCUGGAGAUCUGGACUUGUACUGGGUUGUAUAGUGUUGUCGGCCCUAUUCCUUGAGAAAACUAACCAAGUCGUAUAUAUUCUACUUGUGGCUGUCCAGGUAAGUAAAGUAUUACAUGUUCCAAGCUGUCAUGAUGGUUAGUAAAUGAGUGUCUUAUUCAUAUUUUUUUGGGUAAUAACGUACAUCUCAGCCAGUGGACUUGAUAAACAGGUACCAAAGACACGUAUCUAACAACAGAAAUUGUAGAAUUUGAGUUUGUUUGACUAGUUUUUUCUUGAGCCUUGCAGGUGAGACAUGACGUAGGCGGAGGCACGGGAAACGUGGUUGAUUCAUUGAAAGGUUCAAUUAACAGAAUGAUUUGCAAGAAACAUGGAGGACUACGACCUAAUCCCAUUAGUAUUAACAGUAAGCAUGUGCAUUGAGGAAAAAGAACGAAGUUAGGAUGAUGGUUUUAUCCCGACUGCCCAUGGAGUUGCCGGAUAUCACAUAGUUAUAGGAAUAAAAAAUUUGUUUGUUUUUUAAAAAAAUUCCUUUCUUGUAUAUACGUAUGUUUUCUUCAUGAAAUAAUAUAUACCGAUUUAGUAAAA